UUAGGAAUGCUUUAUGUGUAGGACUGGGGGAUGGCCGGUUCAUUCGUUAUUUAUUACCUUAUUCUUUCAUUUUUCCAACAUUUUCUGAGUACCUUCCGUGGGCUGGGUUGAGCGGGGUGCUGGAGACACAAGGCGGAGUGAGGCAGCCCUGCCUGCGUGUGGGGACAGGUGGACUGUGAGCAGGGAUCACACCCCCUGCAGGAGGAGCGUGCAGGGCCCCAUGCUGCCGAGUGAGCCCCGGCGCUGCACGCCUCCCCGGGGUUUGCAAAGGGCUGCUGAGGCCGUGUGCCUCUCACUGCUCUGCUGUCACUGGGCACAUGAUCAUGUGACCCUGUGGUGGCUCUUAGUCCUCCCCCUUGCUGAUUACACUUGUAUGUGAUCACGAGUUGGUCACGAUGAGUUUUUAAGGCUCAUUGUCUGUUUUCAUUCACUCACCACCGUAAUCCUACAUUUUUAAGAUUCAUACAUUUACUCCUGGGUUUCAAGAAAGAAAUGACUGGAACCCAGAGAGGGAAGGAGACUUGUCCAAUAUUAUUCAUAAAGUAGGGAGCCAGGACUCGCAUGAACACAGAAGAAAGCAGUGUGGAGCCGCCGGGUCUGUGCCGGGUGCUAGCUGGGUCUGUGCUGGGUGCUGGCUGGGUAUAUGAUGAGAACCUGUCUGGGUGUGUGCUGGGUGCUAGCCGGGUGUGUGCUGGGUUGUAGCUGGGUAUGUGCCGGGUGCUGGCUGGAUGUGUGCUUGAUGCUGCCUGGGUGUGUGCUGGGUGCUGGCCAGGUGUGUGCUGGGCACCUGGCUGGGUGUGUGCUGGGUGCUGGCUGGGUGUGUGCUGGGUUGUAGCUGGGUAUGUCCUGGGUGCUGGCUGGAUGUCUGCUUGAUGCUGCCUGGGUGUGUGCUGGGUGCUGGCUGGGUGUGUGCUGGGUGCUGGCUGGGCCCGUGCUGGGUACUGGCUGCUGCUGGGCGCCGAGGGGCGAGGCUGGAGGAAGCUCAGUGUUGCUGCCCGUGGGGAGCUCAGUGUGGUGGGGGCGGCGCAGAUACACACAGGUGGGGGAGGUGCAGAAGCCUCGGAACAUUCCGGGAGGGCGAACGGCUGCCUGCCGGGCCCAGGACAGAGCCUGUGGGGGUGUGUGCACCGUGUGACACAGGAGAGGUCCGCUCAGAAAAAGAACCAUAUGGCAUUCUAGAGGAAAAAAACACACCUGCACUACUAGAACCCGCAGUAAAAACAGAAGACCAAAGCGAACCACCCAUGGGACAAGAACCACAAGAAUCAUCAUCAAGACAAUCAGAAGAAGAAUAUGAGGAACAAGAAUUGCUCAAGCAGCCAUCCUUGGGGCAAGCAUCCCAAGAACAGGUGCCCAAGGAACAAGAAUCCCUGGAACAGCCAUCCUUGGGACAAGAAGAGAUGACCCAGGGAGAAAAAAACUAA
rnacentral:lncRNA from 1 species